CAGCCGCCGCGGUAAUACGAAGGGUGCAAGCGUUAAUCGGAAUUACUGGGCGUAAAGCGUGCGUAGGCGGUUUGUUAAGUCUGCUGUGAAAUCCCCGGGCUCAACCUGGGAAUGGCAGUGGAUACUGGCAAGCUAGAGUGUGUCAGAGGAUGGUGGAAUUCCCGGUGUAGCGGUGAAAUGCGUAGAGAUCGGGAGGAACAUCAGUGGCGAAGGCGGCCAUCUGGGACAACACUGACGCUGAGGCACGAAAGCGUGGGGAGCAAACAGGAUUAGAGACCCCCGUAGUCCCUGUCUCUUAUAC
rnacentral:rRNA from 1 species